CCCUUAGAUGUUCUGGGCCGCACGCGCGCUACACUGAUUCAUGCAACAAGUUUUGUCCUUGGCUGAUAGGCCUGGGUAAUCUUUGAACGUGAAUCGUGAUGGGGAUAGAUGAUUGCAAUUAUUCAUCUUCAACGAGGAGUUCCUAGUAAACGCAAGUCAUCAGCUUGCAUUGAUUACGUCCCUGCCCUUUGUACACACCGCCCGUCGCACCUACCGAUUGAAUGGUCCGGUGAAAUCUUCGGAUCUGAGAGAUGUCUGAUUAAUUUCGGACGCCUUUUGGAAAAGUUGUUUAAACCUUACCAUUUAGAGGAAGGUGAAGUCGUAACA
rnacentral:rRNA from 1 species